UCUCUUCAAUAAACUUUUCCUCGAGUGCAACAAAAGAAAACGACCUACCAGACUUAUCAAGAUGGGAGACUAAUGUAAACGAAAAAUAAAAUCGUGUCUGUACUGCAGGAACAAAAUCAAGAACGAAACAACCUGGAAAGGAGUUAAAGUCAAUUAGGACACGUGACGGGUUGGAUUUGAAGGCGGUUUAAGUGAUCAAAUUCUUUCCACGCACAAAGCUAAUAAUCAAACUUGCUAUCGAACCCUCCGCUCCCCCCACCCCCGCUUUAAGAAAUCAUUAUGAACGUAAGAAAUUGGAAGAAGAGUUAUGACGGUGAGAGCAUUUGAUGGAGUGAGUGGACCAGUUUUCCUUCUCUCCACAAUACGCUAGAAAUCAGACUCACUGUGCAGAAACAAAACAAAAAAGCGAUCAACGUUACCAACUGUGAAAAAAUAAAGCUAGAGCGAACAUUUGACGUAGUAAGUGGAACCGAUUUAGUGAGCAGGUUCUCUCGACAUGGUUAAAAAAAAAGACUUGCUGUGUAGAAAAAAGAAAAAAAAUCAAUCUACGUAACGAAUUGGAGAAAAGUAAAGCUGGUGAGAACAUUUGACGUAGUAAGUGGAACCGUUUUAUUGGGCAAAUUCUCUCGACAUAGUUAAAUAAAAAAGACUUGCUGUGUAGAAAAAAAGGAAAAAAACAAUUUACUUAACGAGUUGGAGACAAGUAAAGCAAGAGAGAACAUGUGACGGAGUGAAUGGAACUAUUUGAGUGGAGUUUAUCUUGACAGUUAAAAAAAAAAAAAGACUUGCUGUGUAAAAAAAAAAAAAAAAUCAAUCUACGUAACGAAUUGGAGAAAAGUAAAGCUGGUGAGAACAUUUGACGGGGUGAAUGGAACAGUUUGAGUGGAGUUUCUCUCGACAUAGUUAAAAAAAAAAAAAGAUUUGCUGUGUAGAAAAGAAAAAAAAAUCAUUCUACGCAACGAACUGGAGACAAGUGAAGCUGGUGAAAACAUUUGACGGACUUAAUGCAACAGUUUGAGUGGAGUUUCUCUCGACAUAGUUAAAAAAAAAAAAAAGACGGUGUGUAGAAAAAAAAGAAAAAAAUCAAUCUACGUAAAGAAUUGGAAGAAAGUAAAGCAAGUGAAAAUAUUUGACGGAGCGAAUGGAACUGUUUGAGUGAUGAGUUUCUCUUGACAAGGGGGAUAAAAAAAAAAAGUCAGUCUUGUUGUGCAGAAAGAAAGACAAAACAAAACAAUGGACAUGCCAACAGAGCAAAAAAAUGAAAGGAGGGAAAAUGUUUCUUUCUCUCUCUCUCGACACGAAGCUAAAGGUCAGGUCAGACUUGCAACACAGACUCCCUCAAAAAAAAAAAGUUUAAUGAACGUAAAAAAUUGGGAACACAGUGAAGCCAGUGAAAACAUUGGGUAGAGUGGAGUUGUUCUAAUGAUCAGCCUCUCCAAACACAAAACUAUAAAAAAAAACAGACUUGCUAUACAGAUCCCAAAAUAAACUCAAAUCUACCUAACCAAUUGGGAAAAACAGUGAAGCGAAUGAAAGUAUUUGGCGGGGUGAGUGGAAAGUUUUUAGGGAUCAGUUUCUCUCGACACAGACUUGCUAUACAGACCCCCCCCAAAAAAAGUCUUACGAAAGUACCUUAUUCGGAAAACAGUGAAGCGAAUGAAAGUAUUUGGCGGGGUGAGUGGAAAGUUUUUAGUGAUCAGUUUCUCUCGACACAAAAACUUGCUAUACAGACCCCCAAAAAAGUCUAACGAAAGUAACUUAUUCGGAAAACAGUGUAGCUAGUGGAAGCAUUUGGUGGAGCGAGUGGAGAGGUUUUAGUGAGCGGCUUUUGUCAACACAAAACGAAAAAUCAGACUUUUUUUUUUUACAACAAAGGAGACAGCUCAAGGGCACAAAAAAAGGAAACAAUAAUAAAGAAAAAAAAGCCGCUACUCGCUGCUCCUAAAAAAAAAAAAAAGAAUCAACAGAGGUGGCCAAAAGAGAGGUCAAUUUCGGGAGGAGAGGUGCAGAAAGAACAAACAAACAAAAAACAAUUAACGUAACCAACCGGGAAAAAGUGGAACCAGGGAGAACAUUCGCGGAGUGAGUGGAGCGGUUUCAGUGACCAACCUCCUCAUGACACGCAUCACAGAACCUACUCAACCUUUAUCAACAAGACAGACGAGUCGCAGAGUGUUUCAUUCAGCAACAACACAUUCAGCAACAAUUCUAAACUAACUGGGGCGGAUUUAGUGAUCAAAUUCCUCGUAACACACAUAAAAUAAGUUUCCAUUACCAACCUGACGAGCCGGAAAGUGUUUAAUUCACCGACAAUGCAGAACUGACAGGAUGAGUUUAGUGACCCGUAUCCUCGGCGGCAGACCAGAUAGACCGAUGGAUGGACCAAUAGAUAGACAAAUAGGAUCGAACUCACGACGUCCCCUGAGCUCGCUGUUGCCAGGGGAGCGCACGGCGAGAUCACCAACGCUCGAGACAGUGCAGGAAAAGCGUUCAAUGAUGCUCUGAAGGCGGGUGUGAAAUGGUCUUGGAAAUGAAACCCAACAGCCCCGACUCGUCCAUCACGCCGGAAAGGAGGAGGAUCGAGUGGCCGUGAGUGUCCGAGUGAUUGAUUGACGAAGGAUUCAGGUGUUAAGUGUCAUCAAUGGAGGACAAAGUUUCGUUCCGGAGAAGAAGAAAACAAGAGAUGGAGUUUCGUUCAGGAGAAGUGAAGAAAACGACAUUGAGUUUUGUUCUGGAGAGGUAGAAAACGGGAUAAAGAAAACGAUAAUGGGGGACUCCCACACGAAUAACUGUUGAUGGGUGGGCAGCAAAGUUUCGUUCCGGAGAAGAGGAAAACAAGAGAUGGAGUUUCGUUCAGGAGAAGGGAAGAAAACGACAUUGAGGAGUUUCGUUCUGGAGAGGUAGAAAACGGGAUAAAGAAAACGAUAACGGGGGACUCACACACGAACAACUCUUGAUGGGUGGAAGAUUUGCCCGCCUCCACCGCCCAGCCAUUUCCGCCCCGCCCCGCCUCAACCCCCAUCCCCGCCCCGCCCCAACCCCCAUCCCCGCCCCGUCCCAGCUGACACCUACACCUUUGAAAACACACAAACACUCGAUUGACUAAUUGUACUAAUCUAAGUGAACAACAUCCGACGCCACACGGCAGGGAGUUGCGGUUGUGUUGUGUGCUGUCCAAAAAUAAAUACAUUAGGAAAUCCUUGCGGGUAAAACAAAAACUGAAGUUGGGAACGCCAGGGUGUGUUUGGGCUAUCCAGGAGUAAAGAGAAUGACAGUAGAACAUGUUUGUGAGGAAAAAGAAAAGAAAGAUGAAGGUCGGAGCAGUGUCUAAUGUUUUUUUUUUUUCCCCUUGAGCAAACCGAGCUUAAAAACAAAAUAGACAAGGCGGCUUUAGUAGAGCGAAUCACUUGACACACGAACCUAAAAAAAAAACAGCCAAGACAACGUGACGGUUAAAAUGUCGGAUUAAGUGGCAUUUCGAGGCAUAGAUUUUUUUUUUUUUUAACGCGCAGCAAGGAUCCUCGCUUCCCUAGUCUGUCUGGGAGGAAGCAGGAUUCGUAUGGGCCCUGGGAGGAAGGAACAGGCCAGCGGGCAACCUCGGGGGCAUGACUAGAGGAUGACAAGACCCAUAACGUUACUUCCACCCGUCCCCUUCAUCCCAGCCUCACCCCAUCACCCGUUCCCUUCAUCCCAACCUCACCCCAUCACCCGUUCCCUUCAUCCCAGCCUCACCCCACCCGUCCCCUUCAUCCAAGUCUCACCCCAUCACUUUGUACAGUAAGGGAAGCUCAAGGGCAAAAAAAAAAAAAAAAAACAGCAACAAAGAAAACCGGUUGGACGCUGCUCCGGCUAAAGACGAAAAGAACGUGAGGGUGGAGAGGGGUCUUGAACGUUGCAUACUCUCACUUUCCCGGAGCAACGUUCCUCUCACUCUCCCAGGGCAACGUUCCUCUCACUCUCCCAGGGCAACGUUCCUCUCACUCUCCCUGGGCAACGUUCCUCUCACUCUCCCAGGGCAACGUUCCUCUCACUCUCCCAGGGCAACGUUCCUCUCACUCUCCCUGGGCAACGUUCCUCUCACUCUCCCAGGGCAACGUUCCUCUCACUCUCCCAGGGCAACGUUCCUCUCACUCUCCCUGGGCAACGUUCCUCUCACUCUCCCAGGGCAACGUUCGAGACCCCGACGUUCAAACUGUCCUGCAGCAACUGAUCUGAACGUCUGUGUCUGUCUGUAUGUCUGUCUGUCUGUAUCUGGCUCUUGACUUCCUCGGCCGGUGUCUUGAAGGUCGACUAAUGUGAAUUAAUAUUUUUGUAACUCUCUUCCGACAUAGACGUUCUUUCAUAUUUUGUAUGUGAAGUAUAAAAAAAAAAAGCGAUUGAAGUAGUGUAUUGAAACGAAUAAAUGUUUAUCUUG